rnacentral:lncRNA from 1 species
UUGCCCUCAACGCUCACCUGACUAGCUCUGUCUGCGCCUGGCGUUGCAGUAGGAGCCAUUCUUAACGUACCUCUGCUCUUGAAAAUGUCCGUUACAGUAGCCCCGAUACCUCUAGGUCAUCCGACAGUGCUUGUUGAUAUCGUGGCCACUGUAAGUAGCAACAAUGAAAUUGCACAAGCCCCUACAUCUUCUCUUGAGAG